GUGCUUGCGUCGCUUAUGCCCCCGCCUUCAUACGGCGGAGGUCCUGAGUUCGAAUCGCAGCGGGCCCA
rnacentral:tRNA from 1 species